rnacentral:rRNA from 1 species
UACGAAGGGGGCUAGCGUUGUUCGGAAUUACUGGGCGUAAAGCGUGCGCAGGCGGUUUUGUAAGCCAGAUGUGAAAUCCCCGGGCUUAACCUGGGAAUGGCAUUUGGGACUGCAAGGCUUGAGUGCGGCAGAGGAGGAUGGAAUUCCGCGUGUAGCAGUGAAAUGCGUAGAUAUGCGGAGGAACACCGAUGGCGAAGGCAAUCCCCUGGGCCUGCACUGACGCUCAUGCACGAAAGCGUGGGGAGCAAACAGG